AUGGAAGGGUCCACCAGAUUGACACAGAUGUGCAGCUGAGCGUGGCCAAUGAGAUAAGGGGCUGAAAAGCUGCGCUUUUUAAAAAUGUAUAUAUUGCCACCGCUAGUGUCGAGUUCUCGGCUUAAAACAGUAUUAUUCUGAAAUGGGGGGCAAGGAAAAUUACUGAAGUGUUGGUUUAG